GGGUAUAUAGCCAUUCCGAUUUGCAUUUCAAUUCAUUCAGAUUUCAAUUUUGAUUUUGAUCAUAAACCAAACACUUUCUGGAUAUAUCAAAAAAAAAUGCUCCUUAAACCCAUUUUUGGAACAGAAAUAUGGGACACAUUUUUUUUGGCAUGUGAGAUACGUGCAAGUGGGCCAUUUCUUAGAACACGACGGAUUAGGAAAAAAAAAAAUCCUUUCAUCUUCUCUUGUGCCCCCA
rnacentral:lncRNA from 1 species